rnacentral:rRNA from 1 species
AUACGGAGGGUGCAAGCGUUAUCCGGAAUCAUUGGGUUUAAAGGGUCCGUAGGCGGGCGAUUAAGUCAGAGGUGAAAUCCCACAGCUCAACUGUGGAACUGCCUUUGAUACUGGUUGUCUUGAGUUACAGUGAAGUAGAUAGAAUGUGUAGUGUAGCGGUGAAAUGCAUAGAUAUUACACAGAAUACCGAUUGCGAAGGCAGUCUACUAACUGUAUACUGACGCUAAUGGACGAAAGCGUGGGGAGCAAACAGGAUUAGAUACCCUAGUAGUCC